CCUACGGGUGGCAGCAGUCGAGAAUCAUUCACAAUGGGGGAAACCCUGAUGGUGCGACGCCGCGUGGGGGAAUGAAGGUCUUCGGAUUGUAAACCCCUGUCAUGUGGGAGCAAAUUAAAAAGAUAGUACCACAAGAGGAAGAGACGGCUAACUCUGUGCCAGCAGCCGCGGUAAUACAGAGGUCUCAAGCGUUGUUCGGAAUCACUGGGCGUAAGGCGUGCGGAGGCUGUUUCGUAAGUCGGGUGUGAAAGGCGCGGGCUCAACCCGCGGACGGCACAUGAUACUGCGAGACUAGAGUAAUGGAGGGGGAACCGGAAUUCUCGGUGUAGCAGUGAAAUGCGUAGAUAUCGAGAGGAACACUCGUGGCGAAGGCGGGUUCCUGGACAUUAACUGACGCUGAGGCACGAAGGCCAGGGGAGCGAAAGGGAUUAGAUACCCCUGUAGUC
rnacentral:rRNA from 1 species